CAUGCGCCUCGCUCUUGCACUCCCCCUCCAAAGGAGGGGGAACGGGAGGAGUGGCAGUGCUGAGGGGCUUGGAAAGCGGUUCAGGAGGGGCGGUGCCACGGACCCGCGAGCCAAGUCAUAGGAUCAGAGGAUUUAAAGCUAGAAGAAGGGACCUCCAUGGUAGCUCAGUCAUUUUACAGAAAGGGGAAACUGAGGCCCCGGAAUGUGUUUGUGACUUGCUCCCGGCCAAAUGGAUAGCAGAGUUGGAUUUGGAACUCGACCCCAGACACAUUUGCUUUCCUCCCUACAUCGUACCGCUUUUGAGCGAAGACUGGCGUCACUCCCGCCAACCCCCCCCCCUUUCCCCCCAUCACCUCCUGUCUGCGUCUUCCCGAACAGAGGGGAUAGAUGGGAAGGGGUGGGGGAGGGCCCUGCCACCCCAGCUUCCAGGCCUGUCCUGGGUUCUGGAUUCUACCCUUUGGUCUUGGGUUUGGACUCUUCUGCUAGCUCGAGCUAUCUCCCGCCCCCAUCCCUAAGUCGCGGGGAGCCGGGUAAGGGAUGCCAGGCGGUGCGGACGGUGCUGGGAGAAGUUGGGCACUGAUUUGGAGGCUCUGGGCAAAGUGGCAGGGGAUUGGGGCUCGGGGCGGAGGGGGCGGGCUGGGACCGUCCAGGCCCCACCCCUUCCCUCCCUCUCCGGCUCCCGAGUAAACAGGGACGUCUGUCGGGACUCGACUGAGCUUGUCCUUUCGCCCGGGGUUAAGGGAUAGAGCCCACCUUAGUGCCCGGGUCUCCCCGCCCCCAUCCUUCUCCCCCAACCCCCCCCCCCUCGCCUGGAGCUGGGCAGGUUUGGGGCGAGCUAUUUGGAAGGGAGUGAGUCACUGGAUGGGUGGGGCGGCUUGCGCCUCCGCCUCCCCCAGGAGGUCAGAGUUUUUUGGGCUUUUCCCACUUCCCGGACUUAGGGAAUGAGUUAGGGACAGGCGUUCCAAGUCUCUGGGUUCCAGACUCCCGGGAACGAAGGUUUGCAAUCAGAAAGGGGGGACUAAGAUCCGGGCUGUAAUUUGUAGGGUGCCCCGGGUUUUCGCCUAGGAGCGCCCAGGUUCUGAGUUUGCAGUCCUUAAGUUGCAGCAGGCAGCCCAGGAGCCCCGGUGUAUGUGCGUCCCGCCAUCGCCCCCUUCUGGCCACUCCGCGACCUGCAUCGCUGAGAGCCUGACCCAAGAGAGAGUUAAGGGGUAAGAGACGUCUAUGAGCCCGUGAGCUUCACAAGGUCAGGAGAGCAACAGACCAGAAGUCCAUGAGCUAAGAUUUGCCAGAGGCCAGCUGCUAAGGAACGAAGUCUGGAGCAACCUGUUUCACCUAGCAUAGAUCAAAGGCAACCAAGAGAGAUCUAGUGAUUCAUCCGUCUGCUAUACCCUAUGGACGCCUCUAAUUCUCACACUGGAUUCUAAAACCUCUGUAGUUCAGUUUCUGGCCUCAUAAUCUCUCCAGAGACACUAAUGAUACCUUAAUUGCCCGACCUUUUCUCAAUCCUAUCCUUCUUGACCUCUUUGCAGCCUUUGACAUUGUGUGUGGCUCACCGUCUCCUCCUGGAUAUGCUUUCUUUUUAUCUUCCUCCUACCUGUCUGGCUUCUCCGAUUCCAGCAGUUCCUUCUAUGGAGGAGACAGCAUUUUGGUUUUGUUUUUUAACAUGAGUCCUUUGGAGUUGUCCUGGAUCCUUGCCUUGUGAUAAUAGUUAAGUCAUUGACAGUUGAUCAUCAGGCAUUAUGGCUGUUACAAUGUCCUCCUGGUUCUACUCAAUUCACUUUCCAUCCGUUCCUGUAAGUCUUCCCAGGUUUUUUGUGUUUGUCUUGUUCUUUUUUUGGAUAGCACAAUAGUAGGAAGAGUCCCUGCCUGAAUAUUAACCCAGGACAUACUCACUAACCUCAGGUGUCCUCAAAAUCUCUAUUCCAGGCCGUCUUCUUUUCUCUCUUUUCAUUAUCUUCCUUGGGAAUUUCAUUAGAUCCCAUGGGUUCAAUUAUCCUCUCUAUGCAAUUGAUUUCUGAAUUUGUUUAUUCAAUCCUAGUUUCUCUCUUCACUUGCAAGACUACAUCGCUAUUUUUUUUUUAAACCCUUACCUUCCGUCUUGGAGUCAAUACUGUGUAUUGGCUCCAAGGCAGAAGAGUGGUAAGGGCUAGGCAAUGGGGGUCAAGUGACUUGCCCAGGGUCACACAGCUGGGAAGUGGCUGAGGCCAGAUUUGAACCUAGGACCUCCCGUCUCUAGGACUGGCUCUUAAUCCACUGAGCUACCCAGCUGCCCCCUACUACAUCGCUAUUUGCCUUUUGGAAAUGUCAGACUGGGUCUAAAGGCAUUUCAAAAGCAACAUGUUUAAAACAGAACUCAUUAUCUUUUCUACCAAAUCCUCCCUUCUUCUGAACCUCCCUAUUACUGUUGAGGGCCCAUCAGCCUUCCAGUCACCUAUGUCAGCAACCUCCUGGUGUCAUUUUCAAUUCCUCUCUCAAUAUGCAAACAAAUAUAUACAAACCAAGCGAUAUAUUGGAUGAAUAUACUAUUGGGUAAUAACUAAGAGCAAAAGGGAAGGCACUAGAAUUAAGAGGCUUCCUGUAAAAGAUGGGAUUUUAGUUGGAACCUAAAGGAAGCUAGAGAAGUCAAUAGGCAGAUUUGAAGACAGAGAGCACAUAUAAUCAAUAUGUUACCAAGUCUUGCCAUUCAUAUAUGCAUUUCUUGGAUACAUUCACUCUCUCCAUUUACAUGGCCACAGUCCUGGGGAAGGCCUUCAUCAGCUCAUGCCUAGACUGUUGCAAUAGCCUUUCAAUUAAUCUCCAUGCGUCAUAUCUCUCUCUGUUCCAAACAAUUCUCCAGUCAGUUGUCAAAGGCAUUUUCUUAAAAUAUGGGUUUGCCCCAAAUGACAAAUGGCCAAAGGAUAUGAACAGGCAAUUUUCAGAUGAAGAAAUUAAAACUAUCUUUAGUUAUAUGGAAAAAUACUCCAAAUCACUAUUAAUUUAGAGAAAUGGAAAUUAAAGUAAUUCUGAAGUACUACCUCACCCUAUCAGACUGGCUAAUAUGACAAAAAAAGGAAAACGAUAAAUGUUGGAGGGGAUAUAGAAAAAUUGGAACACUAUUAUAUUGUUGAUGGAGCUGUGAACUGAUACAACUAUUCUAGAGAGCAAUUUGGAAACUUGCCCAAAGGGCUAUACAAUUGUGGUGCAUACUGUUUAACCCAGCAAUACUAGGCCCGUAUCCCAAAAUGGUCAAAGAAAGGGGGAAAGUACCUAUAUGUAUGAAAAUAUUUUUAGUAGCUCUUUUUGUGUUGGCAAAGAAUUGGAAACUGAAGGGAUGUCGAUCAAUUGGGGAAUGGCUGAACAAAUUGUGGCAUAUGAUUGUAAUGAAAUACUAUUUUGCUGUAAGAAAUGAUGAACAAGAUGAUCAUAAAAAACAAACAAACCUGGAAAGACUUAUAAGAAGCAAUGCAAAGUGAAGUGAGCAGAACCAGGUGUAAAAUUUAAAAUUAAAUCUUAUAGUAAAAAUAUCAUUUUUUAGGAGAUUUAUUAAAUGAUCAUUAGAAAUCAAGGAAUAAAGAGGAUACAAAAUAAAGACCACAUGCCCAUGGUUGAUUAGCCACUUCAAAAUCCCCACACUUAGCUUACUCCACCACCAUGUUUGCUGCAUCAUGCCAAAAAAGGCUGAGCAGGACUGCCCACUGAAUAUUUAUUCCCUGUCUACAGGAAGUAUGCAAUGACAGGAAGUCAGUGGGCUCCAGGGAAAUGUAGUUCUUUUUUAGGGUAACAGAUAAUACACAGGACAACCUUGUACACAGUAAUGGUAAUAAUGCAUGAUGAUCAACUGUGAAUGACUUAACUAUUAUCUGCAAGGCAAGGAUCCAGGACAACUUCAAGAGACUCAUAACAAAAACAAAACAAAACCCAAUAUCUACUCCAUAGAAGGAACUGACAGAAUCUCAAUGCAGGUUGAAGUAUACAAUUGAAGUAUAGGCAAUAUGUAUCUUCUUCCACAACAUGAUGAACAAGGAAUUAUGUAUUACAUGAUAUUACAUGUGUAACCUAUAACAAAUGUCCUGCUGUCUUAGGGAGGAGGGAAGGAUGGGAGAGAGGGAGAAAACAUCAGAACAUGAUUUUCAAAUUGUAUCAACAUGUCAAAAAAAUUAAAGUAUGGGUCUACCUAUGUUA